UACGAAGGGGGCUAGCGUUGUUCGGAAUCACUGGGCGUAAAGCGCACGUAGGCGGAUUGUUAAGUCAGGGGUGAAAUCCUGGAGCUCAACUCCAGAACUGCCUUUGAUACUGAGAAGCUUGAGUCCGGGAGAGGUGAGUGGAACUACGAGUGUAGAGGUGAAAUUCGUAGAUAUUCGCAAGAACACCAGUGGCGAAGGCGGCCAUCUGGGACAACACUGACGCUGAAGCACGAAAGCGUGGGGAGCAAACAGGG
rnacentral:rRNA from 1 species